CCUACGGGUGGCAGCAGUGAGGAAUAUUGGUCAAUGGGCGCGAGCCUGAACCAGCCAAGUAGCGUGAAGGAUGACUGCCCUACGGGUUGUAAACUUCUUUUAUAAAGGAAUAAUGUGAUGCACGUGUGCCUUUUUGUAUGUACUUUAUGAAUAAGGAUCGGCUAACUCCGUGCCAGCAGCCGCGGUAAUACGGAGGAUCCGAGCGUUAUCCGGAUUUAUUGGGUUUAAAGAGAGCGUAGAUGGGUUGUUAAGUCAGUUGUGAAAGUUUGCGGCUCAACCGUAAAAUUGCAAUUGAUACUGGCAGUCUUGAGUACAGUUGAGGUAGGAGGAAUUCGUGGUGUAGCGGUGAAAUGCUGAGAUAUCACGAAGAACUCCGAUUGCGAAGGCAGCCUACUAAACUGCCACUGACAUUGAUGCUCGAAAGUGAGGGUAUCAAACAGGAUUAGAUACCCGUGUAGUC
rnacentral:rRNA from 1 species